CCUUGAAAGAGGCACUCCCCUUCGGGCAGAUGUGUAGGUGCUGCAUGGUUGUCGUCAGCUCGUGCCGUGAGGUGUCGGCUUAAGUGCCAUAACGAGCGCAACCUCAUCAUUAGUUACCAUCAGGUAAGGCUGGGGACUCUAAUGAGACUGCCAUCGUAAGAUGUGAGGAAGGUGGGGAUGACGUCAAAUCAGCACGGCCCUUACGUCCGGGGCGACACACGUGUUACAAUGGGUGGUACAAAGGGCAGCUACCUGGCGACAGGAUGCUAAUCUCGAAAACCGCUCUCAGUUCGGAUCGGAGUCUGCAACUCGACUCCGUGAAGCUGGAUUCGCUAGUAAUCGCGCAUCAGCCACGGCGCGGUGAAUACGUUCCCGGGCCUU
rnacentral:rRNA from 1 species